rnacentral:rRNA from 1 species
UACGGGGGGAGCAAGCGUUGUUCGGAAUCACUGGGCGUAGAGGGCGUGUAGGCGGUCGAGUAAGUGGAAUGUGAAAUACUCCGGCUCACCCGGAGCACUGCAUCCCAAACUGCUCGGCUUGAGUAUGGGAGAGGACAAGGGAAUUCCUGGUGUAGCGGUGAAAUGCGUAGAUAUCAGGAGGAACACCGGUGGUGUAGACGGCUUUCUGGACCGUAACUGACGCUGAGACACGAAAGCGUGGGUAGCAAACAGG